rnacentral:rRNA from 1 species
CGGGGCUUAAUGUCUUGUAAUUGGAAUGAUGGGAAUUUAAACCUCUUCCAGAGUAUCAAUUGGAGGGCAAGUCUGGUGCCAGCAGCCGCGGUAAUUCCAGCUCCAAUAGCGUAUAUUAAAAUUGUUGCAGUUAAAAAGCUCGUAGUUGAACUUCUGCUGCAUUGCUUUUUCUCCUUGAUGAGUUGAUGCAUUGUGGCUUAUUUCGGUCGUGGUUUUCCUCGUCCGGAUGUUUACUUUGAGAAAAUUAGAGUGCUCAAAGCAGGCUUUUGCCUUGAAUAGUUUAGCAUGGAAUAAUGAAGUAGGACUUUGGUUCUAUUUUGUUGGUUUAUGUACCAAAGUAAUGGUUAAUAGGAACAGUUGGGGGCAUUCGUAUUUAACUGUCAGAGGUGAAAUUCUUGGAUUUGUUAAAGACGAACUACUGCGAAAGCAUUUGCCAAGGAUGUUUCCAUUAAUCAAGAAC